rnacentral:rRNA from 1 species
GACGAACGCUGGCGGCGUGCUUAACACAUGCAAGUCGAACGAAGUGGCGAAAGGGUGAGUAACGCGUAAUCAACCUGCCCAUCAGAGGGGGACAACAGUUGGAAACGACUGCUAAGACCGCAUACUGAAGGAGGGGAUUGCGUCUGAUAGGCUAGUGGGGGGGGUAAGGGCCCACCAAGGCGAUGAGCAGUAGCCGGUCUGAGAGGAUGAACGGCCACAUUGGGACUGAGCCACGGCCCAGACUCCUACGGGAGGCAGCAGUGGGGAAUCUUCCGCAAUGGACGAAAGUCUGACGGAGCAACGCCGCGUGAGUGAUGACGGCCUUCGGGUUGUAAAGCUCUGUUAAUCGGGACGCGGUACCGGAAUAGAAAGCCACGGCUAACUACGUGCCAGCAGCCGCGGUAAUAC